rnacentral:rRNA from 3 species
UUAAGCGACUAAGCGUACACGGUGGAUGCCCUGGCAGUCAGAGGCGAUGAAGGACGUGCUAAUCUGCGAUAAGCGUCGGUAAGGUGAUAUGAACCGUUAUAACCGGCGAUUUCCGAAUGGGGAAACCCAGUGUGUUUCGACACACUAUCAUUAACUGAAUCCAUAGGUUAAUGAGGCGAACCGGGGGAACUGAAACAUCUAAGUACCCCGAGGAAAAGAAAUCAACCGAGAUUCCCCCAGUAGCGGCGAGCGAACGGGGAGCAGCCCAGAGCCUGAAUCAGUGUGUGUGUUAGUGGAAGCGUCUGGAAAGGCGCGCGAUACAGGGUGACAGCCCCGUACACAAAAAUGCACAUGCUGUGAGCUCGAUGAGUAGGGCGGGACACGUGGUAUCCUGUCUGAAUAUGGGGGGACCAUCCUCCAAGGCUAAAUACUCCUGACUGACCGAUAGUGAACCAGUACCGUGAGGGAAAGGCGAAAAGAACCCCGGCGAGGGGAGUGAAAAAGAACCUGAAACCGUGUACGUACAAGCAGUGGGAGCACGCUUCGGCGUGUGACUGCGUACCUUUUGUAUAAUGGGUCAGCGACUUAUAUUCUGUAGCAAGGUUAACCGAAUAGGGGAGCCGAAGGGAAACCGAGUCUUAACUGGGCGUUAAGUUGCAGGGUAUAGACCCGAAACCCGGUGAUCUAGCCAUGGGCAGGUUGAAGGUUGGGUAACACUAACUGGAGGACCGAACCGACUAAUGUUGAAAAAUUAGCGGAUGACUUGUGGCUGGGGGUGAAAGGCCAAUCAAACCGGGAGAUAGCUGGUUCUCCCCGAAAGCUAUUUAGGUAGCGCCUCGUGAAUUCAUCUCCGGGGGUAGAGCACUGUUUCGGCAAGGGGGUCAUCCCGACUUACCAACCCGAUGCAAACUGCGAAUACCGGAGAAUGUUAUCACGGGAGACACACGGCGGGUGCUAACGUCCGUCGUGAAGAGGGAAACAACCCAGACCGCCAGCUAAGGUCCCAAAGUCAUGGUUAAGUGGGAAACGAUGUGGGAAGGCCCAGACAGCCAGGAUGUUGGCUUAGAAGCAGCCAUCAUUUAAAGAAAGCGUAAUAGCUCACUGGUCGAGUCGGCCUGCGCGGAAGAUGUAACGGGGCUAAACCAUGCACCGAAGCUGCGGCAGCGACGCUGAUGCGUUGUUGGGUAGGGGAGCGUUCUGUAAGCCUGCGAAGGUGUGCUGUGAGGCAUGCUGGAGGUAUCAGAAGUGCGAAUGCUGACAUAAGUAACGAUAAAGCGGGUGAAAAGCCCGCUCGCCGGAAGACCAAGGGUUCCUGUCCAACGUUAAUCGGGGCAGGGUGAGUCGACCCCUAAGGCGAGGCCGAAAGGCGUAGUCGAUGGGAAACAGGUUAAUAUUCCUGUACUUGGUGUUACUGCGAAGGGGGGACGGAGAAGGCUAUGUUGGCCGGGCGACGGUUGUCCCGGUUUAAGCGUGUAGGCUGGUUUUCCAGGCAAAUCCGGAAAAUCAAGGCUGAGGCGUGAUGACGAGGCACUACGGUGCUGAAGCAACAAAUGCCCUGCUUCCAGGAAAAGCCUCUAAGCAUCAGGUAACAUCAAAUCGUACCCCAAACCGACACAGGUGGUCAGGUAGAGAAUACCAAGGCGCUUGAGAGAACUCGGGUGAAGGAACUAGGCAAAAUGGUGCCGUAACUUCGGGAGAAGGCACGCUGAUAUGUAGGUGAGGUCCCUCGCGGAUGGAGCUGAAAUCAGUCGAAGAUACCAGCUGGCUGCAACUGUUUAUUAAAAACACAGCACUGUGCAAACACGAAAGUGGACGUAUACGGUGUGACGCCUGCCCGGUGCCGGAAGGUUAAUUGAUGGGGUCAGCGCAAGCGAAGCUCUUGAUCGAAGCCCCGGUAAACGGCGGCCGUAACUAUAACGGUCCUAAGGUAGCGAAAUUCCUUGUCGGGUAAGUUCCGACCUGCACGAAUGGCGUAAUGAUGGCCAGGCUGUCUCCACCCGAGACUCAGUGAAAUUGAACUCGCUGUGAAGAUGCAGUGUACCCGCGGCAAGACGGAAAGACCCCGUGAACCUUUACUAUAGCUUGACACUGAACAUUGAGCCUUGAUGUGUAGGAUAGGUGGGAGGCUUUGAAGUGUGGACGCCAGUCUGCAUGGAGCCGACCUUGAAAUACCACCCUUUAAUGUUUGAUGUUCUAACGUUGACCCGUAAUCCGGGUUGCGGACAGUGUCUGGUGGGUAGUUUGACUGGGGCGGUCUCCUCCUAAAGAGUAACGGAGGAGCACGAAGGUUGGCUAAUCCUGGUCGGACAUCAGGAGGUUAGUGCAAUGGCAUAAGCCAGCUUGACUGCGAGCGUGACGGCGCGAGCAGGUGCGAAAGCAGGUCAUAGUGAUCCGGUGGUUCUGAAUGGAAGGGCCAUCGCUCAACGGAUAAAAGGUACUCCGGGGAUAACAGGCUGAUACCGCCCAAGAGUUCAUAUCGACGGCGGUGUUUGGCACCUCGAUGUCGGCUCAUCACAUCCUGGGGCUGAAGUAGGUCCCAAGGGUAUGGCUGUUCGCCAUUUAAAGUGGUACGCGAGCUGGGUUUAGAACGUCGUGAGACAGUUCGGUCCCUAUCUGCCGUGGGCGCUGGAGAACUGAGGGGGGCUGCUCCUAGUACGAGAGGACCGGAGUGGACGCAUCACUGGUGUUCGGGUUGUCAUGCCAAUGGCACUGCCCGGUAGCUAAAUGCGGAAGAGAUAAGUGCUGAAAGCAUCUAAGCACGAAACUUGCCCCGAGAUGAGUUCUCCCUGACCCUUUAAGGGUCCUGAAGGAACGUUGAAGACGACGACGUUGAUAGGCCGGGUGUGUAAGCGCAGCGAUGCGUUGAGCUAACCGGUACUAAUGAACCGUGAGGCUUAACCUU